CAUGAUUUUCAUGCAGGACAAUGCUCCAUCACACGCGUCCAAGUACUUCACAGCGUGGCUGGCAAGAAAGGGUAUAAAAGAAGAAAAUCUAAUGACAUGGCCUCCUUGUUCACCUGAUCUGAACCCCAUUGAGAACCUGUGGUCCAUCAUCAAAUGUGAGAUUUACAAGGAGGGAAAACAGUACACCUCUCUGAACAGUGUCUGGGAGGCUGUGGUUGCUGCUGCAUGCAAU